AAGCACUGAACUUCUCUCCACUGGUGGUGUCAUUGCUGCUGAAUCCAAAAGAUCUCUUGCAUUUGGCAAAACCCUAAUGGAGCAUGCAUAAAUUGCUAAAUUGCAAGUCUUCUCGGAUCUGUUGGAAGUAAAGAUUCAGCUGGAGUAGUUCCCCACAAAAAAAUAGUAAGCAAAUAAUUUCAGAAAAUAGAUGGAGGUUUAACAAAACUUGUGUAAACUAAAGCAAGAGAUGAGCAAGGAUAAAAGAGAAGAUAAUUGUAUAUAGUUAUGGAUUUCUUUUUCCAGAGCCUUGUCCUCCUGCUGAUAGGAACGGCUGAGCUGUCAAACUUGCCUCCACAGGGAAAAGAGCAGAAUGAGUCAGAAUCAAACAGCCAGCUAUGAGAGAACACAACAGUCUGGUAUUGUCCUCUGGGCCCUUUAGAGCAAUCAUGGAGGCUUAUCCUUUCCAUCUUCAUUUUUAGAAGUGCUGGCCCCUUUACAGAAAACUUAAGGCACUAAAGCUUGAAGACUGCAGCAGCACAAAAGAAGGGCUCAGCCAUGGCUGUCUAUCUCUCUUCCCCUCUCCUUUCUUACAUAAUUGAUUGUCUUGAUAACAAUGUAAAUAUUCUCUUUGAAAUGCUAACCUUAUUGGCUAUGCUAAAACAGAGUGAUUAUGCCCUUCGCUGUCAAAAUAUAAGGAGGAAAGCAUGGGUUGUCACCAGAGCAUUGACAAAGAGAUGGCCCAGAGCUUGAACAGCAAGUGCAAAUAUUCUACAGGAGUCUGUAGCUGUGCACGUGCUCCUGUUUGACCACUGACACAUGGGGGCACUGAUCUAGUUUUUACCUUGCGUGGAUAAGAUGAAAAGCAGCAUAUAUCCUAGGAAGAACAUACACUGAAGCUGUCCUCUUUAACUACAUCAUGGAGAGUUUGGGAUGUAAACGGUGAAACUGUGUAAGUUUUAGAUGAUUUGGAAGAGUGCGUCUGACCCAUGUUUGACACUUGCACCAAACUUGUCUCCUUUUCUUCUAGAAAAGCAAUAGUUCUUAUUGGUGGACCUGUCCCAAAGUAGGUCAUCCCAGUGUAUCCAUUUCACAGGCAAGGUGCUAUAAACAUAAAACAUACGAUUUUGGUUGAAUAGUCAUCAGCUGAAAUAAGGUAGCCAUGCUCCCGGAAGUCAUAGCAAUGUAGAAUUGUAGGGUUUGAAGGGACCCCAAGGGCCAUCUAGUCCAACCCCUUGCCAUGUAGGAAUUGCCAUUAAAUAAUCCCUGAUAGAUGGCCAUCCAACCUCUACUUAAAAACCUCCAAGGAAGGAGAAUUUGCCACCUUCAGAGGUCAUCUGCUUCACUGUUGAACAGCUCCUCCCAUGCUGCAUGCCUACAAUAACAUUUCAUUCCUGGCUCAGUUAUUUCUCUUUUACAUGUUGCAAAACAUCCAUUUCAGAAAUGAACUACCUGCCAUUUAUGUAUUCACUCCGGGUUCUGCCCAAGCUUGCAUUGCUCACCAACCUCACCAAAAACCUGUCCCACCAGCCAGCCAGCUGCCCUCUAGACCUCACCUCUACAUACUAACCCAUUAGACCAGGGAUGGAGAACCCUAUGGGCCAACUGCAAUUUUACAUAACUGUUGAUGUUGUAAUCAUGGUGUCACAUGAUUGACAGGUGGGUUCCACCUGUUCAAAUCCCAGCCUCUGUGAUUGAAAUGCAGAGUGUGAGAAGGGUUGCAAGCCUGGCCUGUGCUCAUCCUCUCAAGUUUGUGCACUUUCCCACCCGUUUUUACUUUACCCACCAGUGUAUAAAUAUAAAACCUCAUUUAACUGACUGCUGUUUUCUUGUAUUCUAAUCUGGGCAGGCCUUUAAACAUUGCAUCUCAGACCAUGUCGUUGGCUCAAUCUUUUCAGCUGCGUUACAGUACAAAUGUGCUUUGUCUCUGAAAUUUGCUGCUCCACUUGUGGGUGUCAAAAAUUGGGCAAGGCUAUUUCAUGGAUUCUGCAAGUUGUCUGUGAUUUAUUUCAUUUCAUUUUUAUAAACGGUAGGACAUGGCUUGUGUAGUCCCUCGGUGGCACCAACAGAAAUGUCAAGUUGCAAGUCUGUAAAAGUCAAACCUUUUGGCAUUCCUUCAGAUCCCAGGUUUGUGAACAUAGAAUGGAGUUCAUGAGAAGGGAGGGCAAUGGACUCUGCAUAUAUUAGAAGGAUCUGCGUUGAUGUUCCAGGAAGAGUUCUAACACUACCAGGUUUGAGCCUUCCCUCUUCUUCACUCUGCCUCCCCAAAAUCUGGAAGAUCCCUGUGAAAUUUAACACAUCUUUUCACAACUCAGCAUGAUGAAUGAGACAACCCUGACAGUGAUGGUAAGUUAUUAAUGUGCUGAAAGUGAAGGUUUAAACUAUUUUAAGAGUGAUUCUCUUUGAGCGCUGCAUUUUACUUUGAGUACAAUGCAGCUAUUUUCAAGGAGCACCUGAUUUUUAUCCCACUCGGCAUCUUUAUUAGAUUUGAAAUUUUUUUCAUACAGUAUAUGUUAUGGUUUUUCAUGAUUUUUAAUAUAUGCAGUUGUUUUAACUGUUGUUAUAUAUGGAAUUGUAUGUGUGUGUGUGUGUGUGUGUGUGUGUGUGUACACACACACACACACACAUAUAUAUAUAUAUAAUAUUAUUAUUAUUAUUAUUAUUAUUAUUUUGUGAAGUUGCUUUGGGAUGCUUCACAGGAAGUGAUCUAUAAAUGAAACGAAAUAAAUUCCUGCCUUCUAUCACAUUAUCUGUCAUAUUUGGUGAGCCAAUGCUCAUCCCAUGAAUUUCUCAAACUUCUCCCACACACCUACUGGUAUUGUUUCUAAUCACCGUCUUCUCUGUAUAUUACCAAUUUUAAUGCUGGUUGAAAUAUGUACCCAACAUUAAAAUAAGCAUGUGCCAAGGAUUUCCAUAUGGCAUGCCGGUUGUUCAUACUACUGAAAUUAAUGGACAAAACUAACUUGGGUCUGGGACGUGGGUGCCGAUCAGAAGGUCAGCAGUUCGAAUCCCCGUGACGGGGUGAGCUCCCGUUGCUCGGUCCCAGCUCCUGCCAACCUAGCAGUUCAAAAGCACGUCAAAGUGCAAGUAGAUAAAUAGGUACCACUCCGGCGGAAAGGUAAAUGGCGUUUCCGUGUGCUGCUCUGGUUCGCCAGAGUACACCAGCUCCCUCGGCCAAUAAAGCGAGAUGAGCACCGCAACCCCAGAGUCGGUCACGACUGGACCUAAUGGUCAGGGGUCCCUUUACAUUUACCUAACUUGGGUCCAUUAAUUCCAGUGGGUCUACUCUUGGUAGAAUAUAGUUGGUUUAGUGUUCAGCCCGAAAGCUAUGGUACAGAGAUGGAAAAAUAAUGGUGGGUGAGCAUUUAUCCCCACAAAAAAUCAUGACAACAGGUUGCAAGCUGUUUCAUGAGCUCUGCUAUAGAGUCAGACAUUAAAGCCCAUAGCUUCAUUCUGCAAAUCAGGCAUAGGCAAACUUGGCCCUCCAGAUGUUUUGGGACCUACAACUCUCAUCAUCCCUAGCUAACAGUGGUCAGGGAUGAUGGGAAUUGUAGUUUCAAAACAUCUGGAGGGCCAAGUUUGCCUAUGCCUGCUGUAAACUAAAAAAAGAAAAUAAAAGCUGAAUACUCCCGCAUCCAACAGUGUGAUCCCCCACCCAGGUUAUUUUAGCUGAGGCCAGAGCUCAUGAUGCAAAAAUCCAUGCUCAUGCUUGCUCCAAUAUUCAGCACAUGUUUUCAGCUGUCGUAAUACAUAAACAAAGGCCCAUUUGGGUGACAUUUAUUCCUUCCUUGUCACUCUGUCAAAUUGAUCGCAGAUAUCAUUGCCAUGGAGAGACAUAACACAUAUUUUUUUUAAAAAGAAAAGCUGGGAGGCUCAUUUGUGAAAGGGCAUGGGCGGAUUUAUUUGUUUGAGCUUUGAAGGUACCUCUAGUGUGAUUGGCUGGUCCUCUGUUAACAUACAUCAAUCACUGCUCGAAGAGAAGCUGCUGGUGUCCUUCAGCAGCCAUUUUACACACAAUGCAAAUAUAGCAGCUCUGCAGCCCAAUCCUGUGAUCUUCCCUCUCUGAUCACUUUCUUCUUCUUCUGCGCGAUGCUCAGCCCUGCUGCAAUGAUCAAACAUCAGCUCCAGAUCAAGGCCAAGGAAGGCAGCUGUGAACUAAGAUGCACAAACUUUCUACAUAUGCUUACCUCAGCAAACGUUCAGUGUGAUCUUUUCACAUCAGGAGUUGCUGUUGCCCAGCGUGAGCACAAAUGCCAGCAAUAAAGGUCUCUCCUGCUUCCCUCCAAUUGGGAGGUCAAGGUCAUCUUAAUGUUUCUGUUUGCUUACACAGGUACUGAAGGAUCUCAGGCCACUCAAGCCUUACAACAGAAACCCACAUCAAUUUGUAAAUGUCAACCAAUUACACAGUCGCCCCAGAAGCACGUUAACUGAAGAAGUUCCCAAAUGAAGGCUCAGGAAAUCCUCUCACUUUGAUUACUCAAGGUCUCAAUUUGAGAUGUAUAUUGGUAGUCUUUUUUUAUUGCUAAUACGAUAUAUGGGUGAUGCAAGCACACUUAUUCAAAAUCCCUGGGCAGAAACAGAGCUCUCUCUGCAUACAUCAUUGCAUUGUCAUGCCAUUCCGUUACUCCCUUAACACAGAAGUGCACAUUUCAUGAAACCCAGAUAUGACAUUUAGGACAAAUUCAUCUUUACCCUCCAGAGCUGCAGGGCUUCUGCAGCAAUUCCUGGCAUCAGAUGAAUGAGAUGCAUACCUUGGCAGCAGAGACAAUCACUAAUGGAAAAACCAGCAUUCAAAUGGUGUAGUGUGGAAGCAUCUAAACUGAGCCAAUUAAAGCUGAAAAAUGAAUUCUCAGCCAUGCAAUCCUAUGUAUGUCUGCUCAGACUUUGGCCACACUGAGUUCAGUGGGACAUGGCCUCAGCCAGCAUAGCCCUCCCAACUCUUAAAUGUUAGAUUAUAUUUUGUUCUGAUAGGAACUUGCAUGGGUCAGGCACUCCCGCUCCUGAUGUCUGACUCCCAGACAGGACAUUUGUUGUUGUUGUUUAGUCAUUUAGUCAUGUCCAACUCUUCGUGACCCCAUGGACCAGAGCACGCCAGGCACUCCUGUCUUACACUGCCUCCCGCAGUUUGGUCAAACUCAUGCUGGUAGCUUCAAGAACACUGUCCAACCAUCUUGUCCUCUGCCGUCCCCUUCUCCUUGUGCCAUCAAUUUUUCCCAACAUCAGGGUCUUUUCCAGGGAGUCUUCUCUUCUCAUGAGGUGGCUAAAGUAUUGGAGCCUCAGCUUCAGAAUCUGUCCUUCCAGUGAGCACUCAGGGCUGAUUUCCUUCAGAAUGGAUAGGUCUGACCUUCUUGCAGUCCAUGGGACUCUCAAGAGUCUCUUCCAGCACCACAGUUCAAAAGCAUCAAUUCUUUGGCGAUUAGCCUUCUUUAUGGUCCAGCUCUCACUUCCAAACAUCACUACUGGGAAAACCAUAGCUUUAACUAUAUGGACCUUUGUCGGCAAGGUGAUGUCUCUACUUUUUAAGAUGCUGUCUAGGUUUGUCAUCGCUUUUUCCCCAAGAAGCAGGCAUCUUUUAAUUUCGUGACGGCUGUCACCAUCUGCAGUGAUCAUGGAGCCCAAGAAAGUAAAAUCUCUCAGUGCCUCCAUUUCUUCCCCUUCUAUUUGCCAGGAGGUGAUGGGACCAGUGGCCAUCUUAGUUUAGGACAACAUUACUCUGGGUCAAAUCAGACCACAGAUUUAUUGAUUACAAAUGUAGAGGUUUUACAUAGGCAUUGAGUAUAACUAUUGAACCAGUAGCCCACCUGCUGGGGUAUCCCUUUUCGGGGUCAGCCCAGGGCAAAAGGGUGCUAGGACAAGGAGGAAAGCCUUCAUGGGACUGCUGCCUUGAGGAAUGCUAUGGCCUUUGCCCCUGCCUGGGUGCCUGGACAGGAGCAACUUUAAUGGGAUACUCCUGCAGUCUGGAAGGGCAGGCAGAAACUCCACCAAAGACUAAAAUGUAUCCAAAGCCUAAACUGCAAAAGUUGUGACAAUUGCUAUGAGGUAGGCAAAACCAAGGGACAAAACCAAUUAGUCUGGAUAUAUUAGGCAUUCACUAUUAGAUUAAAUUCCUUGCUUCCAAGAAGCUCAUUGUGGCACUCGUGGCUCUUCCUCUCACCAUGUUCUCUUUACAUCAACCCUCUAGUUAGGCUGAGAGACAGUGAUUGACCCAGGAUCUCUCCAUGAGUUUCAUGGCAAAUUAAAUCCUGGUCUCCUGGGUCCUAAUCCACUUAAAAGCUCUCCACCUUAUUGCACAUUCUAUAAAAAAUAUGUAGAAGUCAACAAACUGGGGGAGGGGAACAAUAUCUUCCCUUUAGUCUGGAAAUUUAUGUUAGCACCUUUAAAUCUAACUAAGGAAGGAAGCAUAUGAGCAAUAGUAAAUAAUUUCUGAAGUGCCCCAUCUUCCACACAGGAGUGAUUUAGGAUGUUCAAUAUCUGUGCAUCUUCGCCAGCUGUUGCUCAUAAUUUCUGGCACAGUGCAAAAACUUAUGACAGCAGUCGCAGUUCUUUCACCACACUGGUUGCAAACUGAAAGAACUGUGUCUCUGCAUAAACUUAUAAUGGGUGACACAUGAACCAGUACAACAGCACAAACUGGUAAAAACAGCUAAACAUUUGAGCACCUAAAGGCAGGACUUAAGUUCUGUACCAGCAAACACCAGGUGACUUGGUAAUACAAGCCAUCUUGACUAUGAGUCCUGGAAGACCCGCUCACAGUCUUGAAGGCCUUUUUCUGUCUGGCCUGGAAGGACCAGCAACAGAAGCUGAGGCUGCUGAAGAGGCCAGAGGCCAUCUUGGCUGUCGCUUACUGCUGGUCCAGGUUGUUGAGCCUGAAUUUCCAUAGCCACCGGCCAACACGAACCACCAUUGGCAGGAUUAGCAGCAGCAGAUAUGUUCUAUGGUUUUAAUAAUAUUUUAUUUUCUUGUUAAGUAUGUUACUUUGAAUGCAUACUUAUUUGACUCCCUUCAAUAAUAUUGUGUUCUGGAUUGUUUUAUUUGAUGUUUUAAUGUGUUGUAAACCACUUGGAGAUUUUUUUUGGUAAAAAUAUAAAGUGGUAUAGAAAUAUAAACUAAAAUAAACUAAGCUAAGCUAAGCUAAAAUAGCCCUGAAUGGGAUUGGUGCAGCCUAUUAUGAUCCCUGGCCUGCCAUUGUCCCCAUUCUUUUAGACAGGGACAGGGGACAAUGCCAGCCUGUUGCAGAGAUUUAUGCUGAUUGGAAUUUUGUAAAAGGGGGGAAAAUGUCAUGGACAUUUUUAAUUACAUGUUAAAUGACAGGUGUUUUAAGAUACAAUAAUUUACUAUUAAAAUACGUUUCAAUGUGUUAUUUAUUUAAAUAAAUAAAAUGAAGAUUAACAACAUCAGUUUGCAUGGUUAAAGUGCCCUUUUGAGUACACACACAGAGGGAGUGAAAAAAGCCCUGGCCUACUCUUGAGUAAAAUUUGGUGGAUACCAACCUUACAACCAGUCUAGGGGGUGAAUUGGCUGUCAGCUUCCUCCUGCUCCUCAGCCUCAGCACUGCCCCUUCUAGAACUCAGCAGGGAAGAGGUUGGGAGCAAGACUAGAAUUUGUUGGCUCUGCCUGUCAUUGGUUUUGGCACCCCCUACUGUUGGGCUCCCUGCCUCCCUCCCUACUAGUUCCAAUGGGCACCAACCUCCACCGGGUUUAGAGCAUGUCCAAAAUGCCAAGAGCAUGAUGUAGGCUGUUAUUGUCCCCCUUCUUAUAAACAUUUCCACACUGACAUAGUUGAGCAAGCACAGAGCUUGCUUUUUAUGUGCCUGGGGAUGUUUUGCCAUCACACUAUUAUUUUCUGUCUCCUCUUCAUUUUGUCUGUAUAAAAGAUACAUAUUUAGGGAAGUCAUUGAAAGUCUUUCCCUAUUAAGUUUACCCCUCGUUGUCAGUGUUGCCAAUAUGCUUGGUGCCAGCCCAUGUCCAAAACGAUCUGCUGAGUUCAGUUUGUAUUUCAGGCAGGAAUGUCACAUCGUGUGAAAUGUGGGGGAGGAAAAGACCACAAAAUGCUGGUGUCAGAAAAGUGGGGGGGGGGGGACUGUGAAACUCCAGAAACCUCUGAGAGGGGGGGACUUUCCUAUUCUAUAAAGGGGUGGGGAUUACAGACAGUCAUUUUGAAUCCCCAAGGAAGUACCAUGCAAAACUAGAAUUACUCAGAGCUUUGCCUCAUUAUGAAAAUCAGAUUUUGAAUAGGUAUGAUCUUGGCCAUUUUCAGUGACAGAUCACAUAGAAAUGAGCUUGAUGGUGCAGGCACUAUUUUACUCAAGUGGUACAUUCGUUUGCAAAAAUAAUCAAUAAUAGUUGGAUGCAGUGGAGCAAGCAAGCCAGGUGAUACAUGUAACUAAUUUUUAACUCCUUGUUUUGCACAAAUCUCAUUGAUUGCCCUUGACUAGGGGACUAUCUAACCAAGCAACUUUUUGUUUCAACCUUCUUCAGUUGGACCAGUUCUGCUUUAGAACAGAAUCACUCCUUUUGAAUGCAUAAUGAGCACUGCUGGAUCAGACCAGAGGCUCAUCCACUCUACGUCCAGCAUCCCAUUUUCACAGUGGCCAACCAGAUGCCCAUGGGAAGCCCACAAGCUGGACAUGAGUGCGAAACCACUCUCCCCACUUUCAUUCUCCAGAAACUGAUAUUCAGAGACACAGUAGUAGCUAAUGCCCAUUGGAACUGGUAGCAUGGAAGAAUGGAAGCCAUUAGGAGCUGAAGCCUGAGCCAAUGACAGGCAGAGCUCAGUUACAGAGCUUCUGAAGUUAGUUCCUGAGUCUUACAUAGAUGUAGAUGUAGAUAGAGUUGUGGAAUUUGAGGGGGAAAGGGUACCAGAAUGAGUUGUGCCUAAAACAUACACAGCAUGAGAAAAAUACAUUGUGUGGUUUCUGACCCAUGCUUUGAGUAAACGGCUACAGCAGAUCCAAUAUACCAAUCAUUGCUCCAUAUAUAUUGCUUGCAAAGAUUUCAGUUCAUAAACCCUGCAAUGUUUUUGCCAUAGGCAAUGAUGGAAGAAAGUUUAUGUUCUUAAUUCUUAGCCUUGAAAAGUCAUUCAGGCAAAAAAUAAAGUUUUUGCUGAUUAGUGGGCAGGAUAAAGUGAAGAAAUUGAAUUCUAGUAUCACACUAACUUGGUAUCAUUGCUUUUUAAUUUUGUUAACUUUUGAGAUCAGGCAGAAUCAAUAUGUGCCUUUGAACCUGAAGAAUGGCUAGGAACAAGAAUCAAGAGUUUCAGACAAUGUACCCAAUUAGCUUUAUCUUGGGUUUAAUACAUUUAUGAAGCAUUUGGAAUGGAGUUUUAUCCAAUGUUUCAGUGGCACUCUACCAAGCUUAGGAAAGGACUUUCCUUUAGGAUCUGCUCUGCAUCAGCAAUAGCCCAAGUUGGAAAUAGGACAAGAGAAAGGUCACAUUCAUACCAUUCAUUUAAAGCAGUAUCAUACCUCUUUAAACAGACAAAGCUCCCCCACAAGAAUUACAGGAAGUGAAGUUUGUCAGCGGUGCUGAGAGUUGUUAGGAGACCCAUAUUCCCUCAAACUGAAAGUCUCUGUGGGGUCUAGUAAAAAAAGAUGGUUCAAUUUCAUAUCAUUUAUUAAUAAAGAUGGAUAUUUUAUCUAGCUUAUGCUGAAGUAUGAGCUAGAGGAAAAUACAGCCAAGAAGAUAUAGCACACCCAUGCUCUUUUAUUAUAUCUUAAAUUUUAUUCUUAUUCUAUCUCUAUUUAGAUGGUCUUCACAUAAUAAGAAAGCAAGGGAAUUAAGAGUAACAUUUUUGUUUGACCCACCUUGCAUUCAACAGAUUGGUAAUUACUGUGGUAUUUUCUUUUCCAAAUAUCUACAAGUAUUUGUUCAACCUCAGUAAAAUUCUGCUGUACUCAUGUUCCAUGUCUGCAUUGGUGCUGCAAUGUGCUCCCCCACCCCUGGUAUCUUAUCUCUGUUUUCUCUUUCUUAUUUUCCUUCUGCAAUUUUUUUUUUCCAUUUUCUUGUAAUUUUAAAACUUCAAUAGAAAUUAUAUGGAAAAUAAGAAUAAUAGUGUUUUAAAUGUAUGGUGUGUAUGUGACCAAAGAGGAGUCACAUGUCAACUAUCCCUAUUUAUAAGGGGCAAUCUCUGUUUCAUAGUGUAGUUCACCUAAUCCCAUCCAUGCAAUGAAAGAAGGGAUAAAUGGGUUGUACUGGCAGCCAAACUCCUCUGACAUUUGUGUGUUCUGAGAGAGCAAGGAGGAGUUAAGCCUGUGUGUGCAUAGAACACAGAUGAGGAAGGAUCCUGGCCCAAUCAAAUUCCUUCCUGAUGUGGAAGAACUCUAUGCAUGUGCGUUGAAACAUGCAUAGAACUCUAUCCCAUGUGCUUUGAGCAGGCAGGUGUCUGGGGAUGUGGGGUUGCCCACGUUGCCUCACAACUCACUCUGUACUGCCUUUCAGAUACUGUAUGUGGAAGUGACCUUGUGUUUGGCAAAUCGGUAUCCUCGUUUUGCACCCAAUUUCUUUCCUUUGCUUUUGGAAAGUGCUUGAUUAAAAAGAAAAUGUAAAUGUAAGUUGCUAGAGUUGCCAUGGUUGGGAGUUCAGCCCCUCUUUAGCAAUUAAAUCUCCGAAGACAACACAGCUUGUCUUUACUGCACCUGUGAAUGCACUUGCACAGCCGGUAAUUUUGCACUCUAAAGCUGAGGCGGUUGAUACUGAUAUGAUAAUAAUGUUGUAUGUUUUUCCCCCCUAAUAGACAUUUAACCCAAAGAACACCUUAUUGGCUUUUAAAUCAGUGGAGGACAGGCUUUUGGAGUAAAUGAAUACAAAAAAGGGUACAGUGUAUCCUUCAAGAAAGCGUAGUCAUGGCGGCUUCCCUCAAAGAAACUGCUUUAACUGUAUAGUGUGGAUUUGACCACAGUUCCCUUUUCAGGAGAAGGGGCAAAAACAGGAAUUAAGCAGUUCUGCCUUUCUUUGUCAUACAUUAAAAUUUCACAUUAAUUAUUGAACAGUGAGCCUAUCAUUUCCUUCCUCUUCUUCUGAACAUAUCUGAAAAAGAUGCUUUUGUUGCUCUCAGCAUGAUCCUGAUUAGCUUUCCUGACAUGGUCCCAGAAGUCUGCGCUGCUCAUCUAUAUUGGACUUUGGCAAGUUCUCCUUCCUUCCUUUUCUUAAAUGUGUGUGUGUGUGUGUUUGUAGUUCCUUGUUAUGCCUGUUGUGCAGUCAUACUGGCUUUUAAAAAUGUCUCCCAUUUUUCUUUCUCCUGGAAUUGUUUGCAAUUGUGCCUUUACUAACUUUAGAAUUGCCAAACUAUUGCUAAGACAAUAGCUACAGAUACAUUGUUCUUUCCAUAAUUGCAGGCCAAUACAAGUUCAUCGAUUCAGGAAGACUGCAGUACACUAGCUCAACACAAAGCUUGAUAUCUGGCAGAAAAGAGUUUCAAUUUCCACUCAGUCAUUUUCAGAAAUAUAGUGUUUCAACAGUACAGACUGGCAGCCCUUUCUGUGGAUUUUAACCAACAAAUAUGCCAGUUCCUAAUUUUAUCUUCCCACUGAAGACUCAUCUAAGUUCACCCCAUUUGAUCGGCCCUUUUUGUGUGUGUCUUUAAAUAAUCUAAUGGAGACUUUCUACACUUAUCAGGAGGGUAUCUGAGGAGCCUACUUUGGCCUUUGGCCUUGCCCGCCACUGUCAUGUGAUGCCUGGAAGGUUACCUAGAAGAGAAUGUGGCUCUCAGGUUGCAAAAGUUUCCCCACUCCUAAUGUAAGGACUGUAACUUGUCUGCUUCUUGUAAGUACAGGGAUUUUUUUUUUAUCCCAUUGCAUUGUUCUUGUAGUGGGUGGGUAGAAGAAUGCAGAAUAUAAAAAAAUAUAGCACAAAUGAAUAUUAUUUUCAAAACAGCAACAACGCUAAAACAGGAUGGAGAUGCAGAAGAUUUUUCCCUCAUGGGGUGAGCUAGCAUUUCUUCCAUCUUCACACCAUAGUUGAAAGACAUACAAUAAUGAUUCACUCAUCAGUCUUGCCAUCUGGGAUGCCGUUUGCCUUCAUAUAGAUACACACAAAUCUCAGUGUGAAUGCACAUGGACACCAUAACCAGCAACCUCUCUGAUGCUGAGCUGGACAAAUGUAUUGGCAGGGCAGCUAUGGCAAUGGCAACACUAAGAUGAAGGUCCCCCAGGCUUGUGUGUUGAACACGCUGCUUUAUGGAAGUGAGUCAUGGACAACUUACAACCAUCAGGAGCGAUGCCUCGAUGCCUUCCAUAUGUCUCAGGAAGAUUUUGGGCAUCACACGGCAGGACAGAGUCUCAAAGAAAGAUGUACUUUUCCAAGCACACAUCCCCAGCAUGUUCACACUUUGUCUUAGUGACAUCUAUGUUGGCUUCUUCAUAUACACAGAAUGGAAGAUGGCAGGAUCCCUAAGGAUGUGAUUUACAGGGAGCUGGCUUCAGGUACCAGGCCUGUUGGCGCACUAACUCUGUGUUAUAAAGAUGUCUGCAAGCAUGACAUGAAGAUGCUGGAACAGUUGUAGAAACAUGCAAAAGGUUGGACUCAAGGAGUCCAUUUGCAAUUCAAAUUCUAAUCUAUUUCCAAAGAGUGUAAUACCAAGCUGAUAUUUCUACCAUAUGCUAUUUGUGUUAAUCAUUUUUUGUUUGUUUGUAAAAUUUGGUAUAACUAUGUGUGUUUAUGUGUUUCUCUUAUACUUUUCUUCUUGACUCCAGUUUUGGCUGCAAGAAAGAUCUUUUUUCAGUUUUCUCUGGUUUCAGAAGGCCAUUUUCUAUUUUAUCAAGUGAAGCUUAUGGGAACACCAAUUAGAGCCAAUUAUAACUUCAUUUACCUUUAACCCACAGUGCAGUGACCUUUGUAUUUAACCCAAUUGGAAUGCUGCCAUGCUAGAGUUAAUUGUUAAAUUUGCUGAUCCAUGGUAGGAAAGGGUCGGAGUAAUGCCCAUUUAGAAAACAGUGGAUUGUAAUUGAAUACCUCCUCUUCCCAAGGGGCAAAAGCCAGUGAUCCUUUCAACAUUUUGCAGUUCAGCUGCCUUGUUAAAGAAAAACAAAUGUGAACCUUUAUCUACAGUAUAUACCUUUCCCCCUUAUAUUUGUGCAGUUGUACAUUAUCACUGAAGCUCCCUUGGCAAAUAGAGCAUCUGCAGAUUGAGCUCCUCAAAACAGUGCAAUCCUAUGCUCCUAGAAGUGACUUUAAGUGUGCAUAGGAUUGCAACCAAAGAGUCCCAACAGGCAAAGGUAGAACUGCUCAUGAAUGGGCAACUUUCCAGGUUUUCUUUAAAUAUUUCCUAUUGGAUUCACUAGGCUGCAGAACAAAGAUACUAAGUAGAACUACUAGUGCUAUAUACUGACUUCUAAACAUCCAUAGAGUUCAUAUUUCGUUACUGCUGUAAAGCUGCACAUAUCAGGAUAUGUGGAUGACUUGCACUUCCACUGCAAUGUGCAAAGUGAGAACCAAGGGAUAUUACCCAUGGAAAGAUGUGUGAGCUUUAGUCUACAAAUAGAUUUCAAACAUAUCCUCAAUGUGGAAAUUUUUUAUUUCACCAUUACAGAAGAAGCUCUUUUGCCAGUUCUUAUAACUGUUAUAAGUUACACAUAUAACACAUAUGCAAGUCCUGUGAGUAAAGUCAGUGAAGUAAUAAAAUAUAAUAUUAUUUAUUUAUUUUCUGUGCAGUACUCAUGUUACAUGUAUGGUGUUCAUUUACACAGAUACUGCUUUGAGGCCUUUUACAACCAUGCAGUGUAUAAAUUUUAGGAAAUAACGGAAAAGUUACUGAAGUUUGAGUAUAUUAGCUUGUUGGUUGCUUACACUAUACGGGCUGUUACGACCCUCUAGCGACAUUGUUAGUAGCUGGCAGGCUGCCAAUCCCUGCUGAUAUAGGGCCAGUGUUGUGAUUUGCUAAUUGCAGCAUUAAGGCAACCUAUUGCAGACAGUGUGUGUGUUCUGUCUGGGCCGGCUUAAGGUAUAUAAACUGGGCCAAGUGCCCCUGUUUGUCAUUCUUGUUCUUGCUCCUGAUGUUCCAAUAAAUGCUUUCUGAGCUGAAUCUCAGUCUUGGGUCAUGCCUGAAUCCACCUACACUUCACAGGUAACUCCCCAAUUACAUGGGGGCUACGUUAUGAACCCCCACAAGCAUUAGUGAAAUGGCAUAAAAUGGGGAGUUGCCUGUAGGAAGAAGCUUUCCCAAUCUCAACUGAGGAAGCUGUGCUUUCCUUUGGGGCUUGGCUGACCAGGUGCUCACAUUUCCAGGUACCGGGCACCAUGCAUGUGCCCAGUCAUGUGUAAAUAGAAUGUACAUAAAUGGGGAGUUGCCUGUAAACUGGUGGUAUUAGGGCUAUGUAGGGAGUGAAUUAGGGAUGCAGGUGGCGCUGUGGGUUAAACCACAGACCCUAGGACUUGCCGAUCAGAAGGUCGGCGGUUCGAAUCCCUGUGACAGGGUGAGCUCCUGUUGCUUGGUCCCAGCUCCUGCCAACCUAGCAGUUCAAAAGCACGUCAAAGUGCACAUAGAUAAAUAAGUACCACUCCGGCAGGAAGGUAAACAGCGUUUCCAUGCGCUGCUCUGGUUCACCAGAAGCGGCCUAGUCAUGCUGGCCACAUGACCUGGAAGCUGUACACUGGCUCCCUCGGCCAAUAAAGUGAGAUGAGCGCCGCAACCCCAGAGUCAGCCACGACUGAACCUAAUGGUCAGGGGUCCCUUUACCUUUAGGGAGUGAAUUAAUUUGUUAAUCAUAUAAGCUUCAGGAGUUUGGUGUGGAGAUCACCUUCCUGUCUUCUCUGUACACAUUUCCCCAUCCUCUCUGUUCACAUUCCCACCCUUCCACCUUUAUCUUCAUCAAUCUACCAUCAUCUCACACCCGCCCCUCCAAGUUUCUCCCGCUUUUCCAUUAUAAUUUGCAUGGUUGCACCCCAGAAGUUUAAAAUGGCUCCUGAAUGGAAAUGUACACAAAGUCUCUCUUUAAAAUGCCUCUUGAGUAUUUUUAAACAUUCCCUGAAUUGCAGUGCACCUGCUAGAUAAUGAUGGCACUUGCUGCAUUGGUCUAUUUAUAAAUAUUGGUGGCGGCAAUGAAAUAAGCUACUCCUGACUAUGUCCACAGGAGGACUGAGUGGCAGAAAAAUUACAUUGGAGAAAUGUUUCCGACAUUGCUACAACAUUUUCUGAGCAGCCUACCAUUUUAAGCAAUUUUAAAGACCCUCUCUAUUUAUAGAGUUAAGGAGAAAACGAUAGCACCCAUGCCAGUUAGGCAAUUAAAAGGUGUUGCGGGUAGAGCAAAACUGACACAGUUACCAAGGGAACAGGUUUUUAUUGUCACAUGCUUAUGUCUGGAUAAGCAUUUGGAAAAGGGAUUCUGCACAAGCAGGAAGCUAGGUAGGAACUUUGCUGAGCAGGUGAACAGGAAACAAUACUUAACUCAGGAAGCAGUCAUAGACUCAUAUCCCUCACAUAAUCAUCACCCUAGUAAAAGUAAGAUAGUGCUAUAUGAACAAGGCUUCAGAUUGUGAUAGUACCAGGUGAAAACAAAAACCAAAAGAUUAGAGACCACACUUGGAAAAUUAUCACACAUUUCUUAUGACUUAAAAGAAUUUUCAAGUUGCAAAGCAUCAUACGUACGAAAAAUAGUUGCUGGCUUAGACUCCAUCUGCACUAUACACUUGAAGCAGUAUUAUACCACUUUAAACAGUCAUGGCUUCCUGCAAAGAAUCAUGGGAGCAGCAGUUUGUUAAGGGUUCUGCAAGUUGUUAAAAGACCCCCAUUAUCCCCACAGACCUACAAUUUCCAGAGUUCCCUGGGAAGAGGGACUUAUUGUUAAACCAUUCUGAGAACUUCAGCUCUGUGAGGAGAACAGAUGCCUUGUCUCCUCCACUCAUUUCUGCAAAGAACCUGCUCCAUAGAGGUUGUUCCUUCCCUAUUUCACUUCCUUGUUGGGGCUUGAUUCAGGGAACCUAAGGCCAAAGUACAUGAAGACAGUCCUCUAUUUGAAAGUCUACUUGACAGGCUGCCUGGUCCGACUAGCAGGAGCCUUAAAGUUGUCCCUCAACACUUAGCACCAGGACAGCAGAUUUCCAUUGACUUUCAUAACAGAAAGUAACUGCAGCCUAUCUGAACAACAAUCAUUUUGCUGGUUAUAGAAUAAAAGUCCAAUAUGAGCAAUAUGAGGCCUACGUUCAUUUUAACAAGCAAAAUAUCCUUACCUCUACAAAAUCACUGGCCCAUAUGUUCUGGAUGGAAUCACCAGUUUAGAUGGGGAACAGGAAUACAGAGACUUGUUAUUUUGUUGUAAGGCUCUGGUGUCACUUGUCAUCCCCGACAGCAGCAAAGGAGAAAAGAUCAGAGUAAUAUUGGACUAUAUCCAGCACUGUCCUUCCACCACUCUUUGAUCCAGUGAAGGGUUUUGUGAAUGCAGCAGGAUGAGAGAACGACUUUUGCCAAUUUCCCCCUUUCCUCUGCAACUCCUAUGUGGAAACAGAUGAGGGAGGGGUGAAGAGUGCAGAGUUCAGUGUGGUGCUGGCACGAAAGAGACAAUGUGCUGCUCCUUUGUCCCACCCAGCUCACUGCACCUUCCACCUUCCCCUCUCUGUAAACAGCAGUGACACUUGCCAACAGGAAAAGAGACACGAUACUCUGCCUUGCCUGUGCCACCCCAUUGGCACGUCUGUUAAAGGUAAGAGCCAUACAGAGGGAGAACAGGGCCUUAAAGUUUCCUGUUAACAGCACCUGGACUGCAGACUGAACUGGCUCGCAGGUCACCAGGCUACAGCCUCUGCCAGUAUGGUGAAAUGCAUUGUAUUUCUUCUCUUUUAAAAUUAUAGCAGUUAUUUGUAAAUUUGCAUCCAUCUGGAUAAAUCAGCACAUACGAGCUGUCAUUCUGUGCCCUCUUUUGUUCUCUUUUUUUUGACAGCGUGCAAGUAGCCACCCUAACAACUGUUGAUUAGGGACUCUGAAGUAUAGCACCCACAAAUAAGCGGUGGAUCUGCUGCAAAGUCACAAUACAGAAACGUUUGGAAAUUCUCCAAUUACCUGUGGAAGACUCCUACACAAGAUAAAAAAGUAUGCUGCUUUUUUCUUCAAACGGCUGUCAUUGUUUCAUAGAUGUGGGUGUGAAGCCUGCAAACAAACACUGUGUAAGGAGCCAGUUUAAAGGGUUUUUUCGUUUCUUUUUAACAUACAGAGCAUGAUUAAAAGAUAAAUGUUAUUCCUCAUUAUAAGGAAGAACUAAACUGUAAAGUCCUUCAAAAGCCUAAAAGCAACCAAAAAGCUGUUUUACAUAGCACGACCCACAAAGUUAAUAAACUAUAACAUCAAUACAUUUUAAUGUUAUGUUAUGUAAGGAGAAGGAUGAAACAGUUGCAUGCUCAUAGUGUAGGCAGAUCAGGAGAAAUUGGAUGCUUGCUCAGUUAUUAAUUCCUCAUUCAGGAAAGUCAGGUUCCUGGAUUGCCUUAAAACUGUAGCAGCUAGUUACCAAUUGCUCUCUUCCCAAUCUUCCAUUCCUGGAAAAGAUGCUUGAACAAGCUUGUACUAACACCAGGCACUCUAGAAUACCCAUCAGCUUUCUAGGCUACUGUGACUCUGGGCUCUAGCCUGAGUAUUAAUUAAUUAAUUAAUUAAUUAAUACCCCACGCAAAGAGUCGGACACGACUAAACGACUAAACAACAACAACAACAACAACUUCUUCCUAAAGGAGCCCAGCAACUAACAAGUGGGAAAGCAAUAAAAACAAUCCCAGAGACUGUGCUUGUGGUAUUUGUAUGUGAUUGUCAACCAGAUUUCUGCAGUAAAAAUAAUCCCUCCUGUUUUCAAUCUGCAGGGAGAGAAUUGCUGAUGUAACCAAAAUAGCACCGCCCAUGAACAAGAGAGAAGUAUCAGCAGAUUCGGGGGAAUAUCAAGGUCAGCUGGAAUUCAUAAUAUUAUAAAAACCUCUCCCAAGUUCAGCAAGAAUGCCUCCCCUAUAAUGGACACCUGAAAUGGAUACCUCACUCUGCUUCCCAAAGUGAGACCCCCCCAGUUUCAAUACCUGAAGUGGGUACCUCAGUUUGUUGCAGGAUCAUGAUCUGGGCCCGUGGGGCAGGGCUGUGGUUAUCUUCCAUUCAGCCUUGGUAGAGGCAAUAGUGAGAUACAGAGCAUGUCAGGGGGAAGUGAUGAAAGCAGCUUUUCUGUUUUGCACUGACAAUGCUGGAUUCCCAUUGACCAUGGAUCGUUCUCUUCUGGGAACCUCUUCUCUCAGCCCCACAAUGUUGCUGUGGAGAACACACCAGAGGGAAACAGAAUGGUGGCAUCUCAACAGGGCAUCUCAACAGAGCAUCAUUUGGCUUCCCUGCAUGCACAGGCCACAUGGAUGUGAGCUGCAGGAGGACCAUGGGCAGCCAGGCUGCCUCCCUUGUCCCAGGAAGAAGGCACUUGUCCUGGACAGGCAUGGGUAGAAAUGUGGCUUGAGAAGAUAAGUCUUGACAGAUGAUAUGGCACACCCAACGCAUUACAUUGAAUUGCGGAUUGUCACAGCGUUAAGCACCCAGGCCAAGAGUAAAUGAAACAAACACACAGCAACAGC